UCCCGUGCCCCGGAUAGGACGCACCCUUUUUGUAUCUGCGUCUCCAUCCCCUACCCGGGGACUGGACGUUGUAAAGACCAGUCACCACUCCAAAUCUCUCCACCUUGGUCCCCAAAACCAUAACCGCCAGAAUCCCGACAUUUCCCUAAAAUGCAGAUCCCGAUUCUCCGAUCCAACGCACGCAUCCCUAAUGUCUGGCACGCCUAACCGGAUAUUUCGGGAUCCUUUCCUUCUCUCUGGCUUGGGGUGCCAGGAAGAAGCCAGGGGGCUCUGGCCCCUGAAGACACCAAUUGGAGCGCUUAGGCCAGGGAAGAGCCGCAGCCCUGGAACCCAGUCGCCCUUUGCAGGUCACUUACUGUACAUUAUGUACUCUGAGCCACCUUGAUCUUGGAUGCUCUGCCUGUUUACUUAGCAGAUCUGGCCUAGACAUACAUUACGAAGCCAUGCUCGCCUGGGAUUCCUCUCCAGCUAUCCUGUUGUACCAUGGCUUCCGGGGAUCCUUUACAGGCACCGCUCAGCUUUGCUAAGGCCAGUGCUGGUUGUGACUUCUGCAUCAGGAACUUACUCUUUCAACACAAGGCUUGAUAAAACAAGCUGUUUCUCCGGUACAUGGAACAACGAAUGGGGAGCAUUAGAAGGUGGCAAUUCUCUCCACCAUGUGUUAACAGGAAAGAGAAAGAAUCCGGGAAAAGCAGAUUGAUACUUUGGAAGCCUAGAAUAUAGGCAUGGUAGGUGGACACUCUGGAAUAUUCUAACAAAGCUCUAAUACCUUUCCUACGAAUUUCUUUUUUUAAAGCCACCAGAAAUGUAUAUAUUGAAAAGUAAUACAUUUUCUCACAGCAUGAAGGCUCUCAU